GAUGAACGCUGGCGGCGUGCCUAAUACAUGCAAGUCGAGCGAACGGACGAGAAGCUUGCUUCUCUGAUGUUAGCGGCGGACGGGUGAGUAACACGUGGAUAACCUACCUAUAAGACUGGGAUAACUUCGGGAAACCGUAGCUAAUACCGGAUAAUAUUUUGAACCGCAUGGUUCAAAAGUGAAAGACGGUCUUGCUGUCACUUAUAGAUGGAUCCGCGCUGCAUUAGCUAGUUGGUAAGGUAACGGCUUACCAAGGCAACGAUGCAUAGCCGACCUGAGAGGGUGAUCGGCCACACUGGAGCGGAGACACGGUCCAGACUCCUACGGGAGGCAGCAGUAGGGAAUCUGCCGCAAUGGUCGAAAGCCUGACGGAGCAACGCCGCGUGAGUGAUGAAGGUCUUCGGAUCGUAAAACUCUGUUAUUAGGGAAGAACAUAUGUGUAAGUAACUGCGCACAUCUUGACGGUACCUAAUCAGAAAGCCACGGCUAACUACGUG
rnacentral:rRNA from 1 species